AUUGAACGCUGGCGGCAUGCCUUACACAUGCAAGUCGAACGGUAACAGGUCUUCGGAUGCUGACGAGUGGCGAACGGGUGAGUAAUACAUCGGAACGUGCCUAGUAGUGGGGGUUAACUACUCGAAAGAGUGGCUAAUACCGCAUGAGAUCUACGGAUGAAAGCAGGGGAUCGCAAGACCUUGUGCUACUAGAGCGGCCGAUGGCAGAUUAGGUAGUUGGUGGGAUAAAAGCUUACCAAGCCGACGAUCUGUAGCUGGUCUGAGAGGACGAUCAGCCAACCUGGGACUGGGACACGGCCCAGACUCCUACGGGAGGCAGCAGUGGGGAAUUUUGGACAAUGGGCGCAAGCCUGAUCCAGCAAUGCCGCGUGCAGGAUGAAGGCCUUCGGGUUGUAAACUGCUUUUGUACGGAACGAAAAGCCCCGGGUUAAUACCCUGGGGUCAUGACGGUACCGUAAGAAUAAGCACCGGCUAACUACGUGCCAGCCGCCGCCGUAA
rnacentral:rRNA from 1 species